AUUGAACGCUGGCGGCAGGCCUAACACAUGCAAGUCGAACGGAGUGGCGGAAGGGUGAGUAAUGUCUGGGAAACUGCCCGAUGGAGGGGGAUAACGUCCGGAAACGGGCGCUAAUACCGCAUACUAUCAGAUGAGCCUAGGUCGGAUUAGCUAGUUGGUGGGGUAAAGGCCUACACAGUCUACGAUCCGUAACUGGUCUGAUAGGAUGAUCAGUCACACUGGAACUGAGACACGGUCCAGACUCCGACGGGAGGCAGCAGUGGGUAAUAUUGGACAAUGGGCGAAAGCCUGAUCCAGCCAUGCCGCGUGUGUGAAGAAGGUCUUCGGAUUGUAAAGCACUUUAAGUUGGGAGGCGUUACCAACAGAAUAAGCACCGGCUAACUUCGUGCCAGCAGCCGCGGUAAUUC
rnacentral:rRNA from 1 species